GAUGAACGCUGGCGGCGUGCCUAAUACAUGCAAGUCGAGCGAACGGACGAGAAGCUUGCUUCUCUGAUGUUAGCGGCGGACGGGUGAGUAACACGUGGAUAACCUACCUAUAAGACUGGGAUAACUUCGGGAAACCGUAGCUAAUACCGGAUAAUAUUUUGAACUGCAUGGUUCUAAAGUGAAAGACGGUCUUGCUGUCACUUAUAGAUGGAUCCGCGCUGCAUUAGCUAGUUGGUAAGGUAACGGCUUACCAAGUCAACGAUGAAUAGCCGAACUGAGAGGGUGAUGCGCCACAGUGGAGCUGAGCCGCGGCCCAGACUCUUAGGGAAGGCAGAGGUGGGGAAUGUUGCCAAAUGGGGGAAAGCCUGAACGAGCAACGCCGCGUGGGUGCUGAAGGUCUUCGGACCGUAAAACUCUGUUAUUGGGGAAAAACAUAUGUGCAAGUAACUGUGCUCAUUUUGACGGUACCUAAUAAGAAAGCCACGGCUAACUACGUG
rnacentral:rRNA from 1 species